UGUCUCAGUAGCUCAGCUGGAUAGAGCAACGCCCUUCUAAGGCGUGGGUCGGGAGUUCGAAUCUCUCCUGGGACGU
rnacentral:tRNA from 1 species